rnacentral:rRNA from 1 species
AACGUAGGGGGCGAGCGUUGUCCGGAAUUAUUGGGCGUAAAGCGCGUGUAGGCGGAAACUUAAGUCAGGUGUGAAAACUCGGGGCUCAACCCCGAGCCGGCAUCUGAAACUGGGUUUCUUGAGGACGGGAGAGGAAAGUGGAAUUCCUAGUGUAGCGGUGAAAUGCGUAGAUAUUAGGAGGAACACCAGUGGCGAAGGCGACUUUCUGGACCGUAACUGACGCUGAGACGCGAAAGCGUGGGGAGCAAACAGGAUUAGAUACCCUGGUAGUCCACGCCGUAAACGAUGGGUACUAGGUGUAGGAGGUAUCGACCCCUUCUGUGCCGCAGCUAACGCAUUAAGUACCCCGCCUGGGGAGUACGGCCGCAAGGUUGAA